GAUGAAGAACGUAGCGAAAUGCGAUAAGUAAUGUGAAUUGCAGAAUUCAGUGAAUCAUCGAAUCUUUGAACGCACAUUGCGCCCGCCAGUAUUCUGGCGGGCAUGCCUGUUCGAGCGUCAUUUCAACCAUCAAGCCCCAGGCUUGUGUUGGGGACCUGCGGCUGCCGCAGGCCCUGAAAACCAGUGGCGGGCUCGCUGUCACACCGGGCGUAGUAGAUUUUAUCUCGCUCUGGGCGUGCUGCGGGUACCGGCCGUGAAACGACCACUCGAGAGAGAGGACACCCAAAGGUUGACCUCGGAUCAGGUAGGAAUACCCGCUGAACUUAAGCAUAUCAAUAAGCGGAGGA
rnacentral:misc_RNA from 1 species